CCUUUUGGUUUCCUGUACCUAUCUCCAUAUUUCCCGAAUUGAUUCGUACCCCCUUGUUCGUGGACAGAAUAGAGCAUGUGUGGUCCCCCCUUUUAUAACCUUCGGACACUGACCACCCCUGGCUCGUUAACUUCAAAGGAACAAUUAAGUCAAGUGCUUUCCCUAGGUGGCCACCAUUCGGAUAACCGAACAUGUGCUCUAGUG